AUUGUGUCGGACUCGUCCGACCAUAAUCUUGGUCGGACGACUUUCAGGUGGUUCUAAUUUUUUUUCAGGUAGUCUUCAUUUUUUUUCAGGUGGUUCCAAUUUUUUUUCAGGUAGUCUUCAUUUUGUUUUCAGUUAGUCUUCUUUGUUUUUCAGUUGGUUUUUGUGCUUCAGUUAGACUUACUUGGGUUUCAGUUGGUCUUUAUUCUUUUUCAGGUAGUCUACAUUUUUCUUCAGGUAGUCUUCAUUUUGUUUCAGUUAGUCCAUUAUUUCUUUCAGUUGGUCCAACUGAAAGAAAAGAAAGUCCAACUGAAAGAAAAGAAAGUCUAACUGAAAGAAAUGAAAGUCUAACUGAAAGAAAGAGAAAGUCCAACUGAAAGAAAAGAAAGUCUAACUGAAAGAAAUGAAAGUCUAACUGAAAGAAAUGAAAGUCUAACUGAAAGAAAAGAAAGUCCAACUGAAAGAAAAGAAAGUCCAACUAAAAGAAAAGAAAGUCUAACUGAAAGAAAAGAAAGUCCAACUGAAAGAAAAGAAAGUCUAACUGAAAGAAAAGAAAGUCCAACUGAAAGAAAACAAAGUCCAACUAAAAAGAAAACAAAACACUAACCUAUACUUUCUCACUUUCUCCUUCUUCUUCAUUAUUAAAAACCCCUCAUUCAAAUCCCAUAGCAACUGAAAUCCCAUAGCAAAGUUUUUGCUACUGCCGAGUUUUUGCAACUGAAAUCCUUUCCACCUUUAUUUGCUUAUUCAAACAUCAAUGAACAAUAUGCCUAUUUUCACUUGUCCUUAACAGUUCCUUACAGUUUUUGGCUGUGGAACCAAUGUUGUUACUCUCCUUUUCAUCGCCGGAAUUAUCUUUUUCAUUUUUCGCAGAGGAACAAUCAUGGUUUGCUCUUCAAAUAAUACACUGCGCUAGUAGUUUUUCUGGAAACUAGUCGGGUAUUCAUAGUUGCUAUAUUGUGCAACAAGAGACCCAUAAACAAUGGGAGGAGAAUCAAAAGCUUUGGCAACGACAAAAAAUUUCACAGUGGCCUUGACAGCAUUUUCAAAUAUGCAAAGCCAUGUUUCCCAAAAAGACAUGGAAACCUCGACGCUAUUAAUCGCGUUCUCUCUGAUCUUUGCAUCAAAGGAAUUCCUAAGGUUUGUUUCAAAAAAUUGUAUAGUACUGGGCUCAGCCCGUCUGACGAGAACAUUUUUGCUAUGGGAGAUAACUAGAUAAGCGAGUAGGUCAGGUGAUUUUUAUACUCUAUAUGUCUAUUUUUAGUCAGAAUAUACUCCCUCGUCACAUAAUAUAGUGCUUGCAUUAUAUUUUGGAUGUUCCAAAUGUUGUUUUUGUUUCUAUUCUUUAACUAGUAUUUGGGUCCGGACGUUGCAUCGGGUAGUAUUUUUUCCGAAGUUGAUAUGUAUUUUUUCCCAUUCGCAUUAAAAUAUAAUAAAGAAAACUUAACAUUUGAAA